GCAUGGCAUAAUAUAACUACCCAAAUCAUAAAGGAUAAAUAGCAUCCUAAACGCACUGUUGGGAUAUCUAUAAUAUCAAUAUUUUAACUUUGAAUAUUUUAGAGUAUAUUGAAGAUUUUCUCUUAAAAAUAGUUCUAUAAUAUUUGAUGAUCUGUUUCUUUAUUUCAUUGCGAUUGUAGCAUGUAGCUGUGAACAUUUCAAAUUUUAUAAGAACAUUAUCAUAUCAUUAUACAACACCACACACAAGAAAAUAUUAUUACAAGGGUGUAUACUCUACUUUCUUCAUACAAGCUCUUACAAACACCUCUACGUCAAUCUAAAAGAACCAUUCCAAACAUCAUUUUAAAACUCAUAACUAGUCUCUUCAUUGGAAUUUAAAGCAUUGAAAAUAAAAAAGAAAAAAAAAAUCCGCUGUAAGUUUACAUCAAAUUCCCUACUUCUGUUACCUGGUGUGAUAGGAGACUGAGAGUUAGUUAAUCUAACUAUCUUGAUAGUUAGAAAGUGCGCUGGGUUUGAUUGUAUAAAUAGAUAGGUGUUAAUUGCUAAGACUUGC
rnacentral:lncRNA from 1 species